GACGAACGCUGGCGGCGUGCUUAACACAUGCAAGUCGAACGGAAAGGCCCUUCGGGGUACUCGAGUGGCGAAUGGGUGAGUAACACGUGGGUGAUCUGCCCUGCACUUUGGGAUAAGCCUGGGAAACUGGGUCUAAUACCGAAUAUGAUCAUCGGCUUCAUGGUCGGUGGUGGAAAGCUUUUGCGGUGUGGGAUGGGCCCGCGGCCUAUCAGCUUGUUGGUGGGGUAAUGGCCUACCAAGGCGACGACGGGUAGCCGGCCUGAGAGGGUGACCGGCCACACUGGGACUGAGAUACGGCCCAGACUCCUACGGGAGGCAGCAGUGGGGAAUAUUGCACAAUGGGCGCAAGCCUGAUGCAGCGACGCCGCGUGAGGGAUGACGGCCUUCGGGUUGUAAACCUCUUUCAGCACAGACGAAGCGCAAGUGACGGUAUGUGCAGAAGAAGGACCGGCCAACUACGUGCCAGCCGCCGCCGUAAUAC
rnacentral:rRNA from 1 species